GACGUAGGGCGCGAGCGUUGUCCGGAAUUACUGGGCGUAAAGGGCUCGUAGGCGGCCAACUAAGUCGGAUGUGAAAUCCCCAGGCUCAACUUGGGAACUGCAUCCGAUACUGGAUGGCUUGAAUUCGGGAGAGGGAUGCAGAAUUCCAGGUGUAGCGGUGAAAUGCGUAGAUAUCUGGAGGAAUACCGGUGGCGAAGGCGGCAUCCUGGACCGACAUUGACGCUGAGGAGCGAAAGCUAGGGGAGCAAACGGG
rnacentral:rRNA from 1 species